GGGCUAGAAUACGAAAGCUCGAUAAACACGAGUCAGCGGAAGCAACAAAUAUCUGAGUACAAACAUAAAACAUGGGGUGCCUUAGAGAAGGCUAGCACAAAAGAUACAACGAUCGAACGAGGCGAGGCCUCCUGCCUGGGAACCUCCUAACUACUCCUGAUCAUCAGCGGCCUCCACGUAGUAGUAGGCACCGUCGGGGUAGCAGUCGUCGGCGGCGAGGACCUCCAUCUCCUGGGCUCCAUCAUCUGGUCGCAGCAAACGGAUCAAGGGGACAAGGCGGUAGCAAAGCAGCAGUGAGUACUCAUCCAAAGUACUCGCAAGUCUUACAUCAGAACUAUUCUAAUUAUGCAUCAGUAUCAAAGAAGGGGGUUUAUAUGUGGACUGACUGCAGCAAUGCGAGAAUAGAGAGAGAAGGCCUAGUUCUAUCGAAGACUAGCAUCCUCAGGGUCUUGCAGCAAUAGACGAGAGUAGAACAGGGGUAAAACAUAAAUAGUCAUAUUGUUGCAGCAAUAUUAAAGUGAGGUCACGCCUAAAGAUCCUCCCUCGACUCCCUGCGAGGAAGCAAUCCCGAGGCAAACUAAUUCCAGUUAAGUAACAAUUGUAGUUGUAAAAGAUCGGGGCACAACUCCAAGUCGUCCUGUAACCGUGGACACGGCUAUCCGAAUAGUUAAUUUUCAUCCCUGCAGGGGUGCACCACAUGUCCCGUCACGCUCGAUAACACUCUGGCCGGACAUACUUUUCUGGGUCCUGCCCGGCCUCGGAAUAUCGACACGUCGCAGCCCCACCUAAGACUAAUCAGAGAGGCCAGCCCGCCGGUCUAAAAUCCUAAGCACAAAGGGUUCGUGGGCCCAGUUCCCCUUCACGCUCCUGCACGUGGCGUGGGCGGCCGACGUCAGUCCUAGCAUCCCUUAAUCACAAGCGCGAUGCAUCUCGGGACCACUCGGGCGCGCACCACUACAUUGCUGGCAUCUGAAAAGCUUCGGCUGAUACCGCGACGCCGAGUACCCAUAAUUCUUCCCGCGUAGCCGGUUAGUGCGAAAAGGUCUCCGACCAACCCAGAUCAAAUACCCAAAUCCAUUAGCAUUUUAAUUAGGCCAGCAACACAGUCUCACGGGAAUCCACCCGUCUUACAACUAAUCACCGAAGAUCCCAGUAACAUGGUCGAGUAACUGUGUGGUUGUAACAUCGGGGGAAUCCGAGGUAUCACCCUCGUUGGAUUCCGAACGAUGUACCCGUCAAGGUGGGCUUAGAGGAAUCACCAUCGGGGGUCCCACACUCGCGGGGUGGCACGACAGAGACGUCAUCGGGAAUGGUGAAAGAGGAAUCACCCUCGAUAACCACGACCAACUAGCUAUACUACAGAGAUAUCAUCAGGAGUACUUAGCGAGGUGUCACCCUCGGUACCCGAUAGUAUCUCUGUAGCGUCGUACAACGAAGGGGUGAAUGUGCUGUGUCGGGUCUGGCUCGUCGAUCAGAGAUCGAGAUUAGAAAACAAGCGGGGCAACUGAACUACGGGGUCAGAGGGGAUGACUGCUCCACCUAUACUAAGCAUAUUUAAAGUACAUGACUGAAAGUAGCAGUUCAUCAAAAAUAGGCUAUGCAUCAGAUAUAGGAGCUAACUACAACAGUAGCAAAAUACUAAUGCAAGCAGUAGAAAGAAAGACAUAGGCGAUACAGGAAUGAUCAAGGGGAAUUUGCUUGCCUUGCUGCUCUGCGGCAAAGGACUGAUCGGCAGGGUCGUAGAUGUACCCGGCAGCAGCGUCAGUCUCGGGGUCU
rnacentral:lncRNA from 1 species